UUCAUCUCCCAUGUGCUGAGAUUUCAAGCGUCUAGGACCAUGUCCAGUCUUUAUACACAAGUUCUGUGGGUAGAACUCAAGUCUUCAUGUUUGCUUGACAAGAACUGUAUUGAUUAUGUCAGCUCCUCAACCCUUUAAUCAGUUUUAUUAAGUAUUUGUUUUACCAUCCCCACUAGGGGAUGGUAAAAUUGUCUGAGGGGCCUUUGAGUUCUAUGAACAGUUUUUUGAUCAACAGCUGCUUGUAGCAAAAAUCUUUCAGAGUUAGUGUAAAAUCUCUGUCCUCACUGUUGGCUUAGUUCAUCCAUAAUGACGCUCUGGCCAUUAAAAACAUCAUUUAAAUUAAUUUCCUGGCCAAUAGAAUGGGAGUCCCUGGAAUUUGAGCUAUGUAUGUUGCCUGGACCACGUUAGGGCUGAGGCAACUGGACCAGGCAUGGCCUAGGGUACAAAGAGGUGGUGAUUAAUUUAGGGGUCAAGUGUUUAAACAUCUGUCGCCUGUAGACUGCUUGCUUCAGUUCAGACACCUCUGCUUUGGAAGAAGGAGCCGGGAGGCCCCCUGCUGCCCUUAUUUCCAGCCCAGUUGCCUGGUGCUCUGUCCCUCAGCUUCUCUGAGAUACCAGCCCUAGGGAGACUGUGCACUGCAGUUUGUACCACCCUGUGGUGACUUUAUGCUAUGACAUAUGCUCCCUCCACUAGCCUUUCUAUUAUAUGAGUGUCAUCCCUCUCUACUGCUUGUUCCAAGGGCCAUGAUUUAGCUUCUUUCCUAUCUCUAGACACUUUGGAGGGGCUCAGCCAAUCCCGAGGUGGGUUUCCAUGUCUUUAAGGACCCGAGAAUCACCUGUGCCGGACUUUCACUGUCACCAUGGUUUCUGCAAAGCUGAUUAGUAAGGAAUUAACCAGCACCAGACCAACCCAGAAUGGGGGACUUCAGACGUGGCUCAGACGUAAGACCACUGGCUGUGUGAGAGUGAGGACCUGUGUUCCCAUCCCCAGCAUGUAUGUAAAGAGCCGAGUGAGGCUGUGUAGGUGCCUGUAACCUUGGUUUUGUGCUGAAUGGAGGUAUGAGGAUCACUGGGGCCGGCUGCCAGCUUAGCUCCUGGAUCUGUGAGAUAUUCUGGUUCAGGGUCAUAGAACAGGAUCUGUAGUUGUCCCUUCUGGCCUCUGCAUUCAUAUACCUGCAUACACAGGAACUAGACAUACAUACUCCACAUAGAUAGAGCACAUACACACUAAUAAAAUAAGCAAACUCCUCAAAACCCAGAGCACGCUCUAGCCUAAGCUCAGGGCAGCACCCCAAGUUCAACACCCACAAGAGGCUGGUGCUGAGAAAGGAAAGUGGAUGGCCUCUGAUGCCCACAGAAGUGUUUGCUUUUUCUCUCGCUCCACAGAUCUCUCAAAUGUUCUUUUUCCACACUGUACCCCCACCCCCAAUUUUAUACAUAGCAGAUGGUGUUCAAACAAGUCAAGGAGCAGAAGCUGCAAAAGGCUUAAAAGAAAAAAAAAAGACAGUGAAACUCAUAUAUUUCUUCAAACGAUAAGAUGAACUACAGAUGUUUGAGGACUGGAGAUGGUGCCGCCUGCGACUGCAGCCCCACUUAAAAGAAGAGUCCCUUAUGUUUAACGUUGGACAAGCCCGGUAGCUGUCACGGCAUGAUUUACGGAGGUUGUUUGUGAGAUUUUAUGUUACUGGGGACCUGGCAAUGAAAACCUCAUUCCUUCUGCCCAUAGGCAUUAUCUCCUGGAGUCCAUGGUGGACUCGUGGGGGUGAACUUGGCGCUUUACAGCCAGUCUGUGGUCCUCUGGCUUCCUGCGUUCUGACCAAUGCUUCCCUUCCACCCUGGAUACUAGAACUGACCCCUCUGUGGGGAUCUGGGUCCUUGGAAGCGUCCUGUUCCUACCUGAUACCUGCAAUCAGAUUACUCUCAAAUUAAGCUUGACAAAGUUGUUAAAGGCGAAACAGUUGUGUGGCAGAAUCCAGCUGCAUAUAGGAAACAGCUGCCUUCAAGGCUUUCUCCCCUUCUUCUUUUUAAGGAAGGAAAGCAUCUCCAUAGAAUGUUUAAAAUGUGAACAUAAAGGUUAUCUUAGAAAGGCCAGCAGAGCCUGUGAUCAGAGAGUGCCAUGGCUCUAGUAAAAGCUUCUUUUGGGGUGACUUCUUAGUCAUAAAUAUCUAUUACCCACUGAAGCCAGGAACCCAAGACCUUCUCCAAAUGUAGAUUUCAUUCCCUGCCUGUGCCUCUAUCUAUCUUCUACAGUACAGAUUCAGGGCAGGAGACUCAGGUCAUCUAGCUUGGUGACUAGCAACUUCUGGGCCCCAAGGCUGGUCUUAAGGAUUCUGAAAACACUAUACCUUUUGGACAUCCAUGCCUAUCCCCAGAUACAGCUGUACACUCAGAUUUUUAGGCUUCUUAAAUCAUGUGCACAGAGCCCUUCCUGCAGGUGGCCAUGGAAUUGGUAUGAGUCCAGGCAGAGGCAGCGGGAGGAGCCCCCAGCCUUCUCUGGUCUCUGGAGCUGAAAUGUGUGCAGCCUUUGAAGUUACCACAACUCAGGUGCCAGCCUCUCGCAGCAGCCUAAGAGGAGGAAAUCUUUGCUUUUUCUAGCAAGGGAGCCAAUUCCUAGGGCGCUGGAUGUUUCCACUAAGCAAAUCCUCAGAAAGCUAUUUUCUAGAGGGUGAGGGGUGGGGGAGGGGUGCUGGAGUGCAGCGUGAAGGCAAGUUAGGUAGGAGGCAGCAUGCACAGGACACCAAGGACCACAGGAGGAAGCCAGGAAGAUAGUAAGGAGCCUUCAAAGUCAAUGCUGCUGGCCAGGCUGAGAUAGCUCAGCGGAUGAAAAGUGCUCAAUGCUCAACCCCAAGGACUGGAAUUCUAUCUUAGAACCUGGAACCGGUGUUUGGCAUCCAUUAUAUAAGCCCAGCCUCAUAGGGAGGGAAGGUAUCAGAAAUGUCAUGGAUAUGCAGUGCAGAGGCAGAAAUAAAGAGAGACCUGCCUCACUAACAUGGCAGAAGGGAAGAUGCUACUUCUGAAGAGUCAUCCUUUAACCCUCCCCCCCCCCCACACACACAGUGCACAUCAUGUACCCCUAAUCCUCAAAAUAAAUCAAUAAAAUAAUCUUAAAAUUUUCACAUCUCUGUGUUCAGAGGCAGGAGGAUGGGAGGACUUUCUCAAAUCUGAUCUGCUUUCAUGUUUAACACAGCCUUAACCCUUGGCUCUUCAUCUUGACCCUGGGUUUCUGGUGAGAAGGAGCCACAAAUCUAAGCCAGGAUGAUCUCAUGGAGUCUUUGUCCUCCCUUCCUCUGUAUUCACACAAAAGCCCACUGGGAAGCUCCUACAGCCACGUGAUUCCUGCUCAAAGGUUUAGAGUUAAAUGGGUCUCAGGUAGCCCUGGUAGACUUCGAACUCCCUAUGUAGCUGAACUCCAGAGGCUCCUGACUUCACUUCUGAAGUGUCAGGAUGUGAUGUGUGUGCAGCCACGCUCAGCUUGUGCAGAGCCAUGGGUGGAACAGAUGGCUUUGUGGAUGCUCGCUCCAAAUGAUCUUGGGAGACGCUAUAUAGAAGCUGGAAGGUUAACUGAAUGGAGGACUCCAUGAUGCAGCUCCAUUGAGCUCAUCCAUCACUCAUGAUUGGAAAAGUUCAUACAAUUGACAUGUAGGAAGAACCAGGAACCCUGGUUACUGAUGGCUCGGGGAAAGAAGACUGAGAUACUGAUGGUGACACUACCCACUUCAAGUUUCUGGUCUGGGCAUCAUUGGGUGCAACAGGUGGUUGGUGCUGGGGAUUUGAACUAUGACCUUAUGCUUUUGCUGCAAGUGCUCUUAUCCACCGAGUCAUCCUUCAAGUUAUUGUCCACAUACAUUGCAUGGAUCAAUCAGCAUAACUUUUGUAACACUCUGUAGAAUAAAUACUGUCUCACAGAGCCCUUUUUACAGAUGUGAGGAAAGAGGCACAGCGGGAUUAAGGAGCAUCCUGAAAGAUAAAUAGCUAUGAAGCUCUAGAUACCCAGUGAUCUCCACAUCAGUCUAUUGACAUAGUCUAUGGAAGGAAGUAGUGCAAUUCCUAGUUAAAAACAGCAACAACAACAACAUAGUCAUCUGGGGGUGUAGCUCAGUCCAGUAUAUAUGAAGUUCUGGGUUUAAUUUCUAGUACUGUAUAAACUAGACACGCAGGAAGGAGAAACAGGAGAUUCAGAAGUUCAAGGUCAUUGCCCCACAAAUAGCAAGUCUGAAGUUAGCCUGAGUGCCAUGAGAUUCUGUUUGGAAUAAAAUAAAACAAACAAGCAUACAUAAUCAUGAAGAAAGUGAUACUGAAAGCCUCCUCCACUAUCCCUGCCAUUAGCUAAACUUCCUCUGGGUUUAUCAGAGAGAUGUCCCUGCAGAGAGCAAAGGACAAUAGAGCAGCAAAUGGCUAUCUCUGAGGCUCGAGCCUGGCAGGUGGCUGAGGUUUCUCCGCUAAGCUGUAUCUCUAUGCCUGUCUCUUCUUGGUUUCUGUUUUGAAUUCUGCCUUGCUUACAUGGUGGUGUUGGGUGGCAGAAUUUGCCCUAAAAUUUUAUCUGGAGACAGUGUGGCUUCAUGUAACACAUACUGUGAAGAUAUCCUGUGUCUGGGGCAGAGAGACAGCUCAGCAGGUACAAGCACUUGAGGGAGGGUGGCCACCUAGGACCCAGGUAAAGGUGGAAGGGGAGAAACAACUUCACACAGUUGUCCUCUGGCCUCCAUAUGCACGUUGUGCCAUGCCUGUCACCAUGUCAUACACUCAUAUACAAAUAUAAUAAUAAAUAAGACUUUAAAAAUGUCCCGGUCCAAGUCCUG